UGUUAUCUGUUGUUCGAUGCCCUAACAUUUGAAUUUUUGCAGGAUGGAGUAUCAUUUAGAUGAGGAGUUGAGACGGAUGGCGGGGAAGGCUACUUGGAACAGUAGCUUUGAGAGUUUUACUGCUGUGUUGGAGCUGCUCGAUGAUCAGCACAGAGAUAUGCUACGAUAGUCCUUCUUAUGGCCACUGUACCAGUUGCGAGAGGUGCAGUACUCAGGACAGAUCAUCGAUGCACUUCUAUGUCGGCUUCUGAGGCCAGUCAACGGCGAUUCCCUCCAGUUCGACCUCGGGGGCAAGGUCGUCAGUUUCU
rnacentral:lncRNA from 1 species